UAUUCAAUCUGACUGAUCCACUGGUUUAAUUUUAAAAUAAAAACGACUAAGAAAAGGAAUUACAUGUCCUUAUCAAAUCCCAGUCAUUAAUAUGCGUAAAUUGCAACCCACACGGGGAAACACCAAUUUAUAAAACGUAUACAUUAGACAAAUGAUAUCUGGGGAGGUGGGGUGGGAGAGGUGCAAGGUAAAUUCUCAUCGUUAACACUGGCCUCAGUAAGUUUGCUCAAAGUUUAAUUGUUUGGAGAUGUCACGCAAGCUGUACUCUGCCUUUCUGCAGAGCUGAGGGAGAAUAAAUUAGAAAGGUGCAAGUUUAACAAAAAGAGCUCGUGGAAAAUGGUCCAUUUCUUUCCUAUCCCUCUCCUCACAGGCCGUCUGGACAAAAAGAGAAAUCUACGGAAGAAUGUGGAGUACACACUGCCCAGCAUUGUCUAGGAGACGGAAAGAGAGCCCAGGCAACACACCAAGAGUAAGCUGUGUCCUGGGCGUGUGUAUCUUUGGACAGCAGAGCUUCCGGCUGCAGCGAGACGGGACUCACCGCGCCCGAGGGCUCCAGCAACCAGACCUAGGGAGGCUAGCGCGGCACACAGGUUAGAUAUACUUUCUCCUCCUCCACCUGCGCCGCCCUCCGCCUGGGUGCCAGGAGUGAUGAUGGAGGCGAUGGUGUCAAGGAGUAGGUGCCUGUGAGUGGGCGCCAACUUCAACGCCAACGCGAGCUUAGAUGGAACCAAGACCAAGGCUUGUAUCGACAGGCCAUCCUUCCCAGGGACCUGGAAGCCAACUACGCAACUCAGCAGGAGACUCUUCAAAGUCCUGUGUUUUUGGGUUUUUUUUUUUUAACAGACUGGUUUAUUUCAUGCAAUUCAUGAAAACCACCGCCAGACCACCUCUUACAACUUUUCCGCUCUUGGGCGGGGGCGCCAGGGUUGUCUCGCAACGCAAGAUUCCCUAUUACCAAGAGUUAGGCUCCUACCAGGAGGGUAUGCUGAGCAAAGCUUGAGGCCCUUUGGGCUACAGGAAGGGCGGGUUCCUGGGUUUUUUUCUGCUAUUGGUGCUGCGCCUCCAGGAUGGGGAGAUGGGAGAAAGCCAAACUGACUUAUCAGACCCGUCUCCACCGCACCCAUCGCCCAAACUCCCAGCACCGGUUUCGGAUUUGCAAACUGCUUGGCGUGGGCCGGGCACCAGAGCACAGCACCCUGGAGGCGGACAGCCCUAAGGCACUCUUCCCCUUUCCACUCCUCCACUCCCGGGGCACGCUCGCUUCCCUCGCUCCCCAGCGAAAGCCCCGUCUGGAGCCGGGAGCCGGCAUCACCCACACUGCCCAGGGAGGGUUCGCGUGGCUACCCGGGGGCCAAGUAAGCCGUGGAAGAUGUUUUCCCUCCCGCCUCCCCUGCAUCCCCGUCCUUCCUCGAUCUCAUCUGGGUACCCCACACCCUCUUCCCGGCUCAGCCCCGCAUACUCCUCUCUGACUUUGCGAGCACUUUUCCUGGGCACACAGGGCAGGGCGCAGCCUCCUCUGUGCCGCCCACGGCGCUCGCCACCCCGGGAGCGCCCGGGGUACCUCCUCCAGCCCCCUGCGCAGCGUUUCCCAGGGGACUCUCUGCCUGUCCCGCAACCGGCGCCCGGGGCCGUCGCCUCACCUUUGCAGAACUGAGGGACACCAAGGCUGAGCCCAACCAGGAGCCAAGCAGCCACCGAGCGCUUCAUGAUCCGUCUCUCGGACGUGACCCCGCUGGUCAGGGGUCCUAGUGGAGGGUAGUGUCGCUGAGGCUGCACCGCAGGGCAGCGGCAGACCCCGCCCCGACAGAGGAUUCAAGAAGAUGUCUUUUUCCUGCAGCGUCUCCUUAAACAAAUUCUUGGAGAGAGCAAGAAAGAGUGGCGACCAAAGAGAGGAAUCUUUCUUCCCCUUUUGCCUGCGCUCCGGGGCGCUGGGAGGUGGGCGAGCUCCGGGGAGUCGCCAGCGGGCUCAGCCUCCUCUGCGGGUGGGUCCCAGACGAGGCGCGGCGGGCGGGGCCGGGCGCCGGCGGCGGCUCGGGGUCACCCGCGCUGGCGGACCCGCAGACUGUGUGCUCUGCUCGCGCCGCCGCGGCCGGCUGCGGGGCUUCUGACUUAAGAGAACAAUGAAGCGUGAGCAGGCGGGGAGCGAGGGAGCGAGCCGAGAGCGCACUGUGUACAAACAGAGGCGGCGUGCGUGUGAGCUUGAGCCUCGCAGGCGCCCGCCCGCCCCGCGCGCCCCUCCUUCCUAUUCCCUCCAGCAGCCUCCCCCUCUUUCUCCCCCCCCCCCCCACCACUACCCCCCAGAGGUGGCUCCUUCUGCUGGAAGAGAAAAGGGAGACAACUGCAGCCACACCCUGGCACCUGCCACCACCUCUGAAGUUCCUACAGUGCCUGUACCUUCUGCACACACGCCAGAGACUCCGGGGUUAAGGGAAGCAGCCCUUGGUGUCUGAGAUUCUCUUGGUUUCCAGCACUGACUUUAUAAUUAACCACGUCAAGGAAUCCCCUGAAGUCCCGUUCUCUGCAUAGCCAGAAAAAGAAGUUAAGAGAUUUUGAAAAGUGGCUCUUGGGGCACAAAGCUGCCCGAGAGACAGAACGCUGCAAAGUGAAUUGUCCCGGAUUCCAGGAAAUGCAACCUAGUCAGCAGCCAGCCUCUAAUCAGCUAAGACAGGGCUGCUCUGCUGCUGUUCUGGCUGCACUUUGGUUGGCUCUAGGGUUGGGGAGAGAGCCCUGUGGGCUCCUCUGUCCACCGGGGCAAAAAGGUGAAGGCACAGGGCAAGCCAGUGGGAGGCAUACAUCUCCUCAAGGAGGACAUCUGUUUCAGAUGAGAAAUAGCGGGGCGAGUUUGGGGACCGUGCAAGAAAAUAAAAGGCAAAGACAGAUUCUUGAAGCAUCACCAUGGUAGAUCAAAUUUCGCUGCUACCCACCAAAAGCAAUAUAAAUUGACUGGCUUUUCGCAGUCAAAGUGGCUGAACCAAACUACAGCCCAUGGCUUACAAUAGUGUUUUCUCCUCUGUUUUCCAUUUAAAAUAUUUGCUUAGGGUACAUGGAUUCAGCUCUGGCAGUUGCAGGUACCAAAAUAAAAACAGCCUUUUUUUUUUUUUUUUCUUCCUUCUAGAGAGGGAGGUAGGGAGAGAGACAGAAACACCAGCAAAGAAACAUUGAAGGAAACAUUCUUGAAGGCAAAGAUUUGAAAGGAGAAUGUACUAAGAAAAAGAUAGCAGAGGACAAUUGGUCAUGCAAUUCAUCUCCUUUUGCCUCCUUGACUCCUUUAAACUUCAAUUUCUACCUUCCUUUGGAAUUUGAAGUGAGAGCAAGGAUGUAAGGCUGAUGGAAAAAUAACUGCAUACUGCCACCGAGAAGUUAAGGUACCGCUGGCAAACAAACAAAAAAACAAGAGCAACAACAAAAAUUAUUUGAAAACAAGGUUUGUUCAGAUCUCAUGUUUGGUGGGGGUACAAGAACAUUUUUUAAAAAAUGAUUUUGCUAAGGGAAAGAGGAAGAAUCAUUUAUUUAUAUUCUGUUUUCUUGCUUAAAGCCACAGAUGUUAGUGUAACGUACCACUGUCCAGAGCUGCAGCAAAGCAGUUUUAAACAAGCAAAUUCCAACUUUCUGUCACAUCACUGUUACUUAAUUUUAAAAGUAUGCUUUUUAUCAGUCAUGUGGUGGCAUGUCCAUCAUAAAGUAUCUCUUUAACUUUUUGAAGUGUGAUGUUUAAUAUUAGUUUUAAGGUAUUAUUUCUAAAACAUAGUACUAAAUCUCAAAAACGAACAGACAGACACUACUAUAUAUAUGAUAGGUAACCAACAAGGACCUAUUGUAUAGCUCAGGGAGGUCUCCUCAAUAUUCUAUGAUAACCUAUAUGAGAAAAAGUCUAAAAAAGAAUGAAUAUAUGUAUUUGUAUAACUGUAUCACUUUGCUGUACACCUGAAACUAACAAGACAUUGUAAAUCAACUAUACUCCGAGAAAAUUUAAAUAAAUAAUAAAAUAAAAUCAGAAAACAAUGACUGUGAUGAGACAUUAAAGAAAAAAAUUGU